rnacentral:misc_RNA from 1 species
ACCAGGAUUACCAAAUAUUGUCUUAUAUUUGCCUCAUUAACUAUUUUAUUUUUCAUUUUAAAAUAUGAGUUUAUAAAAAAAAAUAGUAAGAAACCUAACAUAAUGUUCUUUCUUACAAAUAUUGUUAAUGAAAUAUUUGAAUUGAUAUUUUGAUUUAUUUUGUGCUAUACGAUUGCUUUUUCACGUACGAGUUUCCAUAGCAGCGGGUUUAUAGUAGGAAUCGACUAUUUGGAUGCUCUAAUUAGUCAUAUUCAAGAUGAUGCCUCAUUUUGCAUGUUAUUUGUAGAUAAUAUUGUCUUAGUAGAUGAAACUAGUAAAUGAGUUAAUCAAAAGUCGCAGUUGCGGAGAAAGGCUUUUGAAAGUAAGGGUUUUAGACGAGGAUGUAACCCAUAGGAUGUCAAUAAAAUGGAUGAGUACCAUAGGUGUGUUAUCCAAUCAUAAGAUCGCUAACAAAGUGAAAGGUAACUUUUAUACGAUUGUAGCCAGACCAGUCAUGUUGGAAGUGAAUGUUGAGCAUCUAAGGCAACAACAUACCCGCAAAGUAAGUAUGGAAGAAAUGAAGAUGUUAAGAUGUAUGUUUGGUAACAUAAUAAUGAAUAAAAUUAGAAAUGACCACAUCCAUCAAAUAAUGCAUGUAGCAUAUAUUAGAGAUAAAAUGAGAGAUAGUCUAUUAAGAUGGUGUAGUCUAUGUCUAACGUAGAGAAUCAAAUGAUCCAGUAUGGAAAUUUAACGAGUAAAGGGAAGGGAGAGACCUAAGAUAACAUAAAGAGCAGUAGUACUAAAGCAUUUAAGAGCGUUAGUUAUUGAAGCGGACUUAGUGUCUAACAGAGCUGA